GAUGGAGUUGUUUUGGGUUGCUGCGGUCUUUGGUCUCCUGUCCUCUGCACAGUCAGCUCCUGUUACCAGCUGUGAGACGCUCACCAAACAUGAUGACAUAAUAAGAGAUCAGCUGCUGGGAAAAUGGAUCCUUAUUGGAGAAACCACUGACAAAGAUGAAACGUUAUCAAUGAUAAGGUCGUUAGUGGACACUGUGUUUUGGAACAUCACAGAGACUGACACGACAGAUGGACUCCAAAUUUUCCACCAUCAGAAAACGUCUGGGGUUUGCGCAUCAUUACAAAUGGUGGCGACAGUGAAAAACAAAACUCUAACUAUGGACUAUCCCUAUCCUGCCACUUCCGUUAAACUGACCAGCAGCUGCCCUGACUGCCUGAUUUUGUACUCCAC
rnacentral:lncRNA from 1 species